ACAAAUAUCAGGGGAACGGAAAAGCUUGCUGGACAGACGAAAACAACAGGUACCACACACCUCUAAAACUACCUCUCAAAAUUGUGAAAAGACUAGUGAAAGUAUACAUAACUGUUUGGGAAGCCCAGGCGGGCGGAUCACCUGAGGUCAGGAGUUCAAGACCAGCCUGGGCAACGUGGUGAAACCUGGUCUCUACAAAAAUACAAAAAUUAGCCGGGCAUGAUGGCGGGUACCUGUAAUCCCAGCUACUCGGGAGGCUGAGGCGGGAGAAUCGCUUAAACCCGGGAAGCAGAGGUUGCAGUAAGCCUAGAUUGCGCCACUGCACUCUAGCCUGGGCAACAGAGCAAGACUCUGUCUCAAUUAAAAAAAAAAAAAAAAGUAUACAUAACUGCCUAACAGAGGACGUAAUAGGACACACCCAAUAAAUGGUCAUUGUUGUUUCCUCCAGCAGCACCGUAAGAAGGAAUACAAACAAUCUUUCUUCUGCAGUCUUGGAGCAAACAGGUGCUGAUAAAAUCAACAUUAGUUCAAGCCUCACCCCCAAAGUUGAACUGAGCCUGAACCUUUCUGAAGAAUGAAGAAUGUUUAGCAAACAUUCCCCUCCAGUGUGCCUAAACUUCAUGUAUCUUUGUACUUCCUCGGCCAGAUCUGUUCUGAGUUUUGGUGUCCCUCGAUGACAAAAUGAGAGCUUCAGGCUACAUGGUCACCGAAGAUCUCUUCCUACACAGCAGUGAAUCUCUCAUGUUCUAUUGUUGCCUUGUCAGCACUUCAUCACUUUGCUCCUGUUUUUAUCAUCCAGCAAUACAAGGUGUCCCUCUGAGCUUCAGAAAA
rnacentral:lncRNA from 10 species